GAGUUUGAUCAUGGCUCAGAUUGAACGCUGGCGGCAGGCCUAACACAUGCAAGUCGAACGGUAACAGGAAACAGCUUGCUGUUUCGCUGACGAGUGGCGGACGGGUGAGUAAUGUCUGGGAAACUGCCUGAUGGAGGGGGAUAACUACUGGAAACGGUAGCUAAUACCGCAUAACGUCGCAAGACCAAAGAGGGGGACCUUCGGGCCUCUUGCCAUCAGAUGUGCCCAGAUGGGAUUAGCUAGUAGGUGGGGUAACGGCUCACCUAGGCGACGAUCCCUAGCUGGUCUGAGAGGAUGACCAGCCACACUGGAACUGAGACACGGUCCAGACUCCUACGGGAGGCAGCAGUGGGGAAUAUUGCACAAUGGGCGCAAGCCUGAUGCAGCCAUGCCGCGUGUAUGAAGAAGGCCUUCGGGUUGUAAAGUACUUUCAGCGGGGAGGAAGGGAGUAAAGUUAAUACCCUUGCUCAUUGACGUUACCCGCAGAAGAAGCACCGGCUAACUCCGUGCCAGCAGCCGCGGUAAUACGGAGGGUGCAAGCGUUAAUCGGAAUUACUGGGCGUAAAGCGCACGCAGGCGGUUUGUUAAGUCAGAUGUGAAAUCCCCGGGCUCAACCUGGGAACUGCAUCUGAUACUGGCAAGCAUGAGUCUCGUAGAGGGGGGUAGAAUUCCAGGUGUAGCGGUGAAAUGCGUAGAGAUCUGGAGGAAUACCGGUGGCGAAGGCGGCCCCCUGGACGAAGACUGACGCUCAGGUGCGAAAGCGUGGGGAGCAAACAGGAUUAGAUACCCUGGUAGUCCACGCCGUAAACGAUGUCGACUUGGAGGUUGUGCCCUUGAGGCGUGGCUUCCGGGGCUAACGCGUUAAGUCGACCGCCUGGGGAGUACGGCCGCAAGGUUAAAACUCAAAUGAAUUGACGGGGGCCCGCACAAGCGGUGGAGCAUGUGGUUUAAUUCGAUGCAACGCGAAGAACCUUACCUGGUCUUGACAUCCACGGAAGUUUUCAGAGAUGAGAAUGUGCCUUCGGGAACUGUGAGACAGGUGCUGCAUGGCUGUCGUCAGCUCGUGUUGUGAAAUGUUGGGUUAAGUCCCGCAACGAGCGCAACCCUUAUCCUUUGUUGCCAGCGGUCCGGCCGGGAACUCAAAGGAGACUGCCAGUGAUAAACUGGAGGAAGGUGGGGAUGACGUCAAGUCAUCAUGGCCCUUACGACCAGGGCUACACACGUGCUACAAUGGCGCAUACAAAGAGAAGCGACCUCGCGAGAGCAAGCGGACCUCAUAAAGUGCGUCGUAGUCCGGAUUGGAGUCUGCAACUCGACUCCAUGAAGUCGGAAUCGCUAGUAAUCGUGGAUCAGAAUGCCACGGUGAAUACGUUCCCGGGCCUUGUACACACCGCCCGUCACACCAUGGGAGUGGGUUGCAAAAGAAGUAGGUAGCUUAACCUUCGGGAGGGCGCUUACCACUUUGUGAUUCAUGACUGGGGUGAAGUCGUAACAAGGUAACCGUAGGGGAACCUGCGGUUG
rnacentral:rRNA from 1 species